rnacentral:rRNA from 1 species
GCCUACGGGGGGCAGCAGUGAGGAAUAUUGGUCAAUGGGCGGGAGCCUGAACCAGCCAAGCCGCGUGAGGGAAGAAGGUACAGCGUAUCGUAAACCUCUUUUGUCAGGGAACAAAGGCGGGGACUAGUCCCCGGAUGAGGGUACCUGAAGAAAAAGCAUCGGCUAACUCCGUGCCAGCAGCCGCGGUAAUACGGAGGAUGCGAGCGUUAUCCGGAUUUAUUGGGUUUAAAGGGUGCGUAGGCGGCGCUUCAGGUCAGCGGUGAAAUACCGGGGCUCAACCCCGGGGCUGCCGUUGAAACCGGAGC